rnacentral:rRNA from 1 species
GACGAACGUUGGCGGCGUGCCUAAUACAUGCAAGUAGAACGCUGAAGGAGGAGCUUGCUCUUCUGGAUGAGUUGCGAACGGGUGAGUAACGCGUAGGUAACCUGCCUGGUAGCGGGGGAUAACUAUUGGAAACGAUAGCUAAUACCGCAUAACAGUAGAUGUUGCAUGACAUUUGCUUAAAAGGUGCAAUUGCACCACUACCAGAUGGACCUGCGUUGUAUUAGCUAGUUGGUGGGGUAACGGCUCACCAAGGCGACGAUACAUAGCCGACCUGAGAGGGUGAUCGGCCACACUGGGACUGAGACACGGCCCAGACUCCUACGGGAGGCAGCAGUAGGGAAUCUUCGGCAAUAGACGGAAGUCUGACCGAGCAACGCCGCGUGAGUGAAGAAGGUUUUCGGAUCGUAAAGCUCUGUUGUAAGAGAAGAACGAGUGUGAGAGUGGAAAGUUCACACUGUGACGGUAUCUUACCAGAAAGGGACGGCUAACUACGUG